AUAAUGAAUGGGUAUGAUAUUUGGGCAUUAGGUAUAAAUUUCAGUGUGGUAUUUAAUGAUUGGAGUGGAUUUUAUGUAAUCAUCACGGUGGGUCCUGUAAAUAUCAAGUGUGGACAUCUCUCUCCCAAUUGUUUUCCUUGGUGUGGCCCACCAAAAUCACAGGUCAUCUUGAGUUUUUAGCCACCGACAUAAUGUAGGAUUACACAUCUAAUGGUUGGAGUGGAUCUUACAUACACAUGACAGUGGGUCCUCUAAAAAAAUGAUGCGCCUCAAAAAGUAUUUCCGUGAGUGGUAAGCGUCUCAAGGAUAUAUUUUUAUUUUCAUAUGAUUUUUGGAAAGCCAGUCGUAGCUUGGGUGGGCUCCAGAACUUAGGCAUGAGGACUAAAAUUAAGGCUCAUACGUAUUCAGGUGGUUCACACGGAGAGAGUUUAGAGGCUUGAGUGUUGGCCUACGUCCCCUCAUUUUCUAAGCUCAUACCCGCUCCGCGCAUCUUCCAAGCUCCGGCCUACACCCGAUUCUCUCUCUCUCUCUCUCUCUCUCUCUCACACACACACACACACACACCUUACAAGCUCAUCAGAUAAUUUCCGCUGGCUAAACUGCCGAAUUUUCUCAGGGAUCCGCUCCUAAAACAGGAAAUAUGGAAAUACCAUUACCAACGGACAAGCUAUCUUUCAGAAUCAUGGAUCAAACCAUCUCAUCGACUGCUCUAAGCAAGGAACAGAUUUGUGUUGUUUUGGUAUUGAGCGGAAGUUUCAAUCCUCCUACAUAUAUGCACCUGCGCAUGUUUGAACUGGCAAGAGAUAAAUUGAAUUCGGAAGGUUAUUGUGUUAUUGGAGGCUACAUGUCACCAGUGAAUGAUGCAUACAAGAAAAGGGUAUGUAGCUUUUUGUUGUACCUCGUCAAUACAUACAAAUUGGUAUAAAAAAAAAAAAAGGUUCAAUCGAGAGCCCUAGUUUUAAAGGUAGGCACCUCACACCUCCUGGUGGGGCAGAAGAAAGGCCUUCAAGGCUAUUCUUGAGGCAGUGUUUUAAAUAUCGAUGAUAUCAGCCAAUAUAUCCCACGAUAUAUCUUGUAUCCCACCUAUGAGAUAUGAAAUGCACAGGUAGUGCCGCUUAGUGUUCGAAGUAUUGGUAUCACUACAAGUUUCGCUGACCAGGGAUACGGAAACAAUAUCGAAAUUACCAAUAAUAUCACUGAUAACCGGAAAUGUGGAGAAACAUGGGAAAAACGGUGGAAUUUUUGGCGAAACUUUAGGAGAUGUUAAAAUGUACAUAUUUGCAUAUUUAAAAAUAAAAAAUUUGCAAACUGAAUGCAUAUAUAACAAGUUUCCAUUUAAUGGGGCCUUAAAAGCAUAUGAUGUUGUAAGAAAUCAGUCCAACCAUCUCAUCCGACCUAUUUAACCAUACAACCUUCCAUCCAAACAUCCGUCAAUAUUGCAAAAUAUCAACAACACAUGAUAUUUCACCAAGAAAUCAUCAACAAUUGUAAUGGAAACGAAAGUUGUGGUCUCAAUAUCGUGCAUGUUGCAAUAUCAAUAAUAUCGAGAUAUUAUCAAUAUUAUCAAUGACAAAUUGAACACUACAUACAACCAUGUGCCCAUGAAA